CAGUAGCCGCGGUAAUACGUAGGUGGCAAGCGUUGUCCGGAUUUACUGGGCGUAAAGCGAACGCAGGCGGGCUGUUAAGUCUGGUGUGAAAGCCCCCGGCUCAACCGGGGAGGGUCAUUGGAAACUGGGAAACUUGAGUGCAGAAGAGGAGAGUGGAAUUCCACGUGUAGUGGUGAAAUGCGUAGAGAUGUGGAGGAACACCAGUGGCGAAGGCGACUCUCUGGUCUGUAACUGACGCUGAGGAGCGAAAGCGUGGGGAGCGAACAGGAUUAGAUACCCCGGUAGUCCCUGUCUCUUAUAC
rnacentral:rRNA from 1 species